rnacentral:rRNA from 1 species
CAGAGGUGGCAAGCGUUGUUCGGAUUUACUGGGCGUAAAGGGUCCGUAGGCGGUUCAGAAAGUCAUGUGUGAAAGCCCACAGCUCAACUGUGGAACUGCAUAUGAAACUUCUGGACUAGAGUAUGAGAGGGGUUAAGGGAAUUCCCGGUGUAAGGGUGAAAUCUGCAGAGAUCGGGAGGAACACCAGUCGCGAAGGCGCAUAACUGGCUCAUUACUGACGCUCAGGGACGAAAGCUAGGGUAGCAAACGGGAUUAGAUACCCCGGUAGUCCUAGCUGUAAGCGAUGGUCACUAGGUGUUGGGGGGGUUAAACCCUUCGGUGCCGACGCUCACGCAUUAAGUGACCCGCCUGGGGAGUACGGUCGCAAGACUG